UCAGAACGAACGCUGGCGGCAGGCCUAACACAUGCAAGUCGAACGGAUCCUUCGGGAUUAGUGGCAGACGGGUGAGUAACGCGUGGGAAGCUACCUUGUGGUAGGGAACAAACAGUUGGAAACGACUGCUAAUACCCUAUGAGCCCUAUGGGGGAAAGAUUUAUCGCCAUGAGAUGUGCCCGCGUUAGAUUAGCUAGUUGGUAAGGUAAUGGCUUACCAAGGCGACGAUCUAUAGCUGGUCUGAGAGGAUGAUCAGCCACACUGGGACUGAGACACGGCCCAGACUCCUACGGGAGGCAGCAGUGGGGAAUAUUGGACAAUGGGGGCAACCCUGAUCCAGCCAUGCCGCGUGAGUGAUGACGGCCUUAGGGUUGUAAAGCUCUUUCAGCAGUGAAGAUAAUGACAUUAACUGCAGAAGAAGCCCCGGCUAACUUCGUGCCAGCAGCCGCGGUAAUACGAAGGGGGCUAGCGUUGUUCGGAAUCACUGGGCGUAAAGCGUACGUAGGCGGACUGAUCAGUCAGGGGUGAAAUCCCGGGGCUCAACCCCGGAACUGCCUUUGAUACUGUCAGUCUUGAGAUCGAGAGAGGUGAGUGGAACUCCGAGUGUAGAGGUGAAAUUCGUAGAUAUUCGGAAGAACACCAGUGGCGAAGGCGGCUCACUGGCUCGAWAMCUGA
rnacentral:rRNA from 1 species